rnacentral:lncRNA from 1 species
GGCACCAUCUUUUGCCUUGCCAAGAUCACAACUGCAGUCUUUGGUCCUCAUCUUCUGCUUUAAGAUCAAUCAUUGAGAACAACCAUAGUGCAAUUGUUGGAGGUGGUAUUGCGGAGCGACUAUUUGGCCUUACUCAAGGAGUAACUUAAAGAGGUGAGCAUAGUUGUAAUGGGAGGAGAGUGGGAACUCUAGCGAUCCUACACCUCUUCUUCUUGGCUUUCUUGAUUACCGUGUGCUGCGGAAGGGAAAGAGUUAUUUUGCCUUAACU